rnacentral:rRNA from 1 species
ACGAACGCUGGCGGCGUGCUUAACACAUGCAAGUCGAACGGUGAAGCGCCUUCCUUUUUGGUGGGUGUGGAUGAGUGGCGAACGGGUGAGUAACACGUGAGUAACCUGCCCCCUUCUUCUGGAUAACCGCAUGAAAGUGUGGCUAAUACGGGAUAUUCUGGGUCUGUCGCAUGAUGGGUCUGGGAAAGAUAUUGUUUCGGUGGGGGAUGGGCUCGCGGCCUAUCAGCUUGUUGGUGGGGUGAUGGCCUACCAAGGCGGUGACGGGUAGCCGGCCUGAGAGGGUGGACGGUCACACUGGGAAUGAGACACGGCCCAGACUCCUACGGGAGGCAGCAGUGGGGAAUAUUGCACAAUGGGCGCAAGCCUGAUGCAGCGACGCCGCGUGAGGGAUGGAGGCCUUCGGGUUGUGAACCUCUUUCGCCAGUGAAGCAGGCCUGCCUCGUUUGUGGGUGGGUUGACGGUAGCUGGAUAAGAAGCGCCGGCUAACUACGUG